rnacentral:rRNA from 1 species
CGAGCGGCGGACGGGUGAGUAAUGCUUGGGAAUCUGCCCAAUAGCGGGGGAUAACUCGAGGAAACUCGAGCUAAUACCGCAUACGCCCUACGGGGGAAAGCGGGGGACUCUUCGGAGCCUCGCACUAUUGGAUGAGCCCAAGUCGGAUUAGCUUGUUGGUAGGGUAAUGGCCUACCAAGGCGACGAUCCGUAGCUGGUCUGAGAGGACGAUCAGCCACACCGGAACUGAGACACGGCCCGG